rnacentral:rRNA from 1 species
UACGUAGGGCGCAAGCGUUGUCCGGAAUUAUUGGGCGUAAAGAGCUCGUAGGCGGUCUGUUACGUCCGCUGUGAAAACCCAGGGCUUAACCCUGGGCUUGCAGUGGAUACGGGUAGACUAGAGGCAGGUAGGGGAGAAUGGAAUUCCCGGUGUAGCGGUGAAAUGCGCAGAUAUCGGGAGGAACACCGGUGGCGAAGACGGUUCUCUGGGCCUUACCUGACGCUGAGGAGCGAAAGCGUGGGGAGCGAACAGG